AACGAACGCUGGCGGCAUGCCUAACACAUGCAAGUCGAACGAGACCUUCGGGUCUAGUGGCGCACGGGUGCGUAACGCGUGGGAACCUGCCCUUAGGUUCGGAAUAACUCCCCGAAAGGGGUGCUAAUACCGGAUAAUGUCUUCGGACCAAAGAUUUAUCGCCUUUGGAUGGGCCCGCGUUGGAUUAGCUAGUUGGUAGGGUAAAAGCCUACCAAGGCGACGAUCCAUAGCUGGUCUGAGAGGAUGAUCAGCCACACUGGGACUGAGACACGGCCCAGACUCCGAGGGGAGGCAGCAGUGGGGAAUAUUGGAGAAUGGGCGAAAGCCUGAUCCAGCAAUGCCGGGGGAGUGAUGAAGGCCUUAGGGUUGUAAAGCUCUUUUACCCGGGAUGAUAAUGACAGUACCGGGAGAAUAAGCUCCGGCUAACUACGUG
rnacentral:rRNA from 1 species